rnacentral:misc_RNA from 1 species
UUACUUUGAUUGGAAAAACAAAACAACGAUUUAAUUUAUUUACUUUUAUUUAUUAACCAAUUAAGUAGGAUCAAUAGAUAUUUUUGUACAGUAGUGUUUAUACGUUUUCCUGGUAAAUAUAACAAAUAUGUUCUGUAACUUUUAUUAUAUGUAGGAAAUUUUUAUUUAUAUUAUUAUAACUGUAGUGUACUAUAAUCUCCAUUUAUAUUGUGUAUAAAAAACGUUACAAGAAACUAUGGUCUUAAAAAAAAUUUUAGAUUAAGUUCAUAUCUUUUUAAGACUUGAUAACUUUGGAAAGCCUUUUAGACUGGUAAGACCCACAUUGAUUAGACUUAGUGAUUCUAAUGCAACAAAUUCAUCUGUCAGACCUACUAUAUGCGUGCUCCGACAAUUGUCAAGAACAAGUUCUUUGAUCUGAAAAAAUAAUAGCUUUUUUAUAA